GGCCUUUGUUAGUCUUGUAUUAUUUUAAUUUUAGUUUCUUGUGUACAAUUUGGAAAUUAGUAUGGUGUUCAUUAUCACUGAACUAGUAUAUAUUUGUUUAGGGGCCAGUUGAAGGACGCCUCCGGGUGCGGGAAUUUCUCGCUACAUUGAAGACCUGUUGGUGACCUUCUGCUGUUGUUUUUUUCUAUGGUCGGGUUGUUGUCUCUUUGGCACAUUCCACAUUUCCAUUCUCAAUUUUAUCAUAUAUUCUUACGCAGAAAAU
rnacentral:lncRNA from 1 species